AAAAAGGCAAGCUAAAGAGAAGAAAAAAGGACAUACAUAAACACAUAAAAUGACUAGUGACGACGACAUAACCAGCACGCAGAUCAUGACUUGAAACAUACAAGAUUGCUUUUUUUCUAGACAUGAACAGAAUAAACCUGAACAACUCAUUGUCCCUCCUCCAAAUUUCUUAGUAUAAUCCAUCACACAGGCAAGCCAUGUUUUCUCUUUCAAAAUUUCCGACCUUUUUGUGUCUUACGCUUUUUCCUAGUUACUGUUCCCCCUGUUCUUCUUGCUUUCACAUUGUUGUACUUCUCUGUUUUGCUGGGUUCUCUUAGAAUUUCAAUUACCCUUUGAGGAACAUGUCUCAACUCUUGUUUAAACAAAGGUUUUUGGUGUUUUGCUCAAGAGUUUGAAGGGUAUGAUUUGCAUUUUAUUACAGUAUUUCUUAGGUUCUUCUUUUAAUUCAAUUCUGAAUUCUGUAUGAUCUAUAUUGGGGUAUCCCCAUUUUUUUUUCUAGCUUUUACCUACUUUUUGUUGGCUUAGAAUGCAAGUGAAACUAAAGUUGGUGUUUUUCUUUAAUAACUGUAUAUGCCUUUAUCCCUGUCACUUUACUCUGUUUUUUUUUCCUGAAUGCUUAUAGAGACCACGAGAUUCCUGGUUGUCUCAAAGGUUUUAGCUUUAUUUAUGUGAUCACAGCCAUUUGCUUUUUUACAAAGUUUUUUAUUUUUAUUUUUAUUUAUUUAUAAGGCUACCAGUUUUGCUUGUGUAUGAAUUAUGACCAGAGAUUUUUGGUUUUGUUCUGGAAAAUGCUUUUUGCUUGAUUAUUAGGUCUUAUUUUUCAAUUUACAGACUAAAAAUUGUUUUUUUUUCCUUCAAUUGUUUCAGAAACAUUGUCUUGUAAUUAAUUUAGGGAAAGUUUAUUUUCUUCUGUAUUAAUGAGGAUGUUAUCUUUGUUUAUAUGAUUUUGCAUUCUUGCAGGACUGUAAAUGUAUGAAUUGAAGACUUAGGGAAAACUUCACGUUUGAUCUGAGUCCGAAGACUGUUGUUCCGUGUCUUAAAGCGAUGUCGGAAGGGGAAAACCAUGUUGUAAUGCUCGGUUGAAGCCAUUCUAUAUAUCGAAGCUCCGAAGAGGUAAGGAAAAUGAAAAGUACAAGCACUGUCAAGGGGAGGAGAAAAAUUGAAUUAUCUUGUGGUAGUGACACUUCUUUUUCCUUCAGAAUUGUUGAUUCUCUUUGUAAUUGAAAGAACUAGGUAAAGUAAGAAAACAACUAUCCAAACAGAAAAAAGCAGAGAGUGAAAUAAUAGAAUAAACUUCUUGUUGUUUAUUCAAAUUUGCCUACCUCUUAAUUCUUAAUGUACAGUAUAUAAAGGCUUUCUGAAUUGAGUAACAACCUCACUAACUGACUAACUACUUCUAUUCUCUAAUAUUCAUCCAUCUUCUCUACAGGCAAGACCCGUAGAAAACUCCGAAAACGAGUAAAACUCGAUGACGAAAUGGGCUUAGUGAGAACAUCAGCGACCUGAUCACACGCUGGAACUUCUCCAACAGCAACCGUGCCAUCAGUAACCUUUUCACGAACAAAAAAUAAAUCUAACUCAACAUGCUUAAACUUUGAAUGAAGAACAGGAUUUGCAGCAACUGCAACCGCCCCAGAACUGUCACACCAAAUUUGAGGAACACUAUUAGACUGAGCAUGUAAUUCUUUAAGUAGCGACAAAAGCCACGUAACCUCACUAGUAACUGCAGCAAGACUUCGGUAUUCUGCCUCAGCAGUAGACCGAGCAACAACCUGUUGUUUCUUCGUACACCAUGACACAGGUGUAUGUCCGAAAUAAACACAGUAUCCAGUAGUAGACCUCCGG
rnacentral:lncRNA from 1 species